GCAGGCGCACUACGAGAUCAAGUGUGGGAGUGUGUGUUUGUUUGUGUGUCGUAGAGAGGCAGGGGGAGAGAGUCACUGGAUAACCACUGUAUAGUGUAGGUAACAGAGUAAUCUGUAUGAGCACUGAGGAAUAACUGGAGAGUUGCUGCUCAGAGGAGUUGGAGGAAAAGUCUUGUUGAGAAGGAUUUAGUAUUGGAGGAAGGUUAAAGGGACAGGGAGAAGCCCCCACUCAUCUUCAUCUAAGAGGAGGAGGUAAACUGGCGAUAAGCAAAUAUUAAUGACCUGACAAGAAGUCACAUGCAUCCGUGUUCAUCAGGCAGCUUUACCUAGGGAGCCACACAUCAGAGGAGCCUGGAUGGUAUACACAUGCGCUUUCCAUUCACUCAUCACUCCUGCCGUACACACACACACACACACACACACCAGGGCCACGCUGACACAGCCGAGUGGAGGAGAGAAGAGGACACUUUUACUGUCUGGGGUCCUUUUCCUUUCUUAAAAUAAAAGGGAUUAGUGGAUUUUUGACCCUGAAAUCAGAGUCUUCCAUUUGAGCUGACCUUUUCAAACCCCCCCAAGGAGCAAAGAUGAGCUGCAGGAAAAGGUGCAAGCGGGAGAUCUUCAAGUUCGCACAGUACCUGUUCAGACUCAUCACAGGCACGCUCAACGACGACAGCGUUGAGGAUGAGCUUGAACUGUCUACGGUCCGCCAUCGCCCCGAGGGCCUGCAGCAGCUUGAAGCUCAGACGCGUUUCUCCCGCAAGGAACUACAGAUCCUUUACCGUGGCUUCAAGAAUGAAUGCCCCAGUGGAGUCGUCAAUGAAGAAACUUUCAAAGACAUCUACUCACAGUUCUUCCCACAAGGAGAUGCGUCGACAUAUGCACAUUUCCUCUUCAAUGCCUUUGAUACAGAUCACAAUGGCUCUGUAAGUUUUGAGGAUUUUGUGAUGGGCCUUUCUAUCCUCUUGCGAGGCACAAUCCAGGAAAAACUCAACUGGGCUUUCAACCUGUACGAUAUCAAUAAAGACGGAUAUAUCACUAAAGAGGAAAUGCUGGACAUCAUGAAGGCCAUCUACGACAUGAUGGGGAAAUGCACUUACCCUGCCCUCAGGGAGGAGACGCCUCGUCAACAUGUGGAAGUCUUCUUUCAGGCGAGUCUGACGUGGGCGGCGUUCACAUCUCUGUCCAGAUACAUUUACCGGUCACAGCAAAAAGGCUUAAGCAGUGUUUUUUUGUUUGUCCUUCUUUCUCCUCUCCUCCCCGUGUCUCCAACAGAAGAUGGAUAAGAAUAAAGACGGAGUGGUAACCAUAGACGAGUUCAUCGACUGCUGCCAAAAUGAUGAAAACAUCAUGAGAUCAAUGCAACUCUUUGAGAGUGUCCUUUAACUUUUGACCGAGUGGAGUCUUUGGAAGAGAACGUCAACUUAAGCUCGGCCCAAUAACUGACUUGGACUCGUACUGUGUACAGUGUGCUAUGCAGACUUUUGAUCGUAGGUUAAUAUAUUGUUCAUGACCACAGGUUGGAGAAGGCAGCAUGGGGUGAACACUCUGGAAUUAGUCGCGUUUUAAACAUUUUAUUGAGGGAUUUCUGACCAAGAAAUGAAUAGAAAGGACAGAACAACUCUCUCUGCAGCUGUUAAUGUUUGCUUCUUUUUAUUUAUUUAUGAAAACAUCUUAACUUCAAGGUUCACGUGCAGCAAAUGUCCCGGGAGUGUUUUUCUGUUUCUCUGUUCGCCAUCACUGUUCUAAACACACUUGAAAUGGGAGUUUUUCCUGAUGAAACGGUUACAGCUUCGACCUGUUUUAUGUACUGCCAAGUGAAAUCACUGUGACUUUUACAGCACUGAAAAAAACAAGAGGGGAAGAAAAGGGAAAAAAAAAAAGGUAACUUCAUAUAUUGGUCUGUGUUUUUACAUUCCAGCCUGGCUCUUGAUUCCAGAGUGUUCAAACCAGAAGCAUUUGGAGAAGAAAAUAUAGAUCAACAAAACACACAUUGCACCAUUUUAAAUUGUAUAUACUUAGGGUAGGUAAAAAAAAAAGAUAAUAGAUACGAACUUUUCAACUUUGUUUACUUGCCAACUAGAAUUGAGACAACACAAUGACUGUAUUGAUGUCAAAAUCAGACCAUAGUAUGGAUGGUUUGUCUACAGAAGCACACAGGUAGCUACAUUUACCACAAGUACAACGUUAGCCGAGACCUUCGUUCGACAGUAAUUGCUGCUUUCAGUGUAUUUUAUUUAACCCCCACAUGUGUAUAUUAUCUGUAAAUGAAACCAUCUGUCAUUGUUUUUAGUUUUUGAAGCACUGUGGCGUUUCCGGGUAGAGCAGUGUUUAAAGUUAUUUAUAUGGUGUUAUGUUCCUUGUACAAAACAUUGUCAGUUGUACAGUAUUAAAAUGAAAGUUCACUCUCUGGUGAAUAUCAGGUCUUUAGACGUGUUCAUAUAAUUCACUGUUUUUAUUAAGAGAGGGCAGUGUGUUCGUUGAUAUAGACUUUGUAUUAUACUGUACUUAUCAUUUUUUGGGUUUCUCAGCUACCACACCUCCUGCUGUUUCCCUCUUCCUCCUCCUCAUCAUCAUGUGGGCUGACGUCCAGCUGCCCACACCUGUUUAGCCUGAUUGAUUCCUGGUGUCUCUGAUUAAAGCAUUGAUUCAUCACAUAUGUGAGCAAACACAAGGCAUCCUGGGUACAAGUCUUACUCAACCGACUGCAGCUCGCUCAUUGGAACCUGCCGGAUCACUGAGACAAGUGUCUGGAUGUUAUGUAAGUAAGUUAAUGAGAGUUGAACACUUUAUUUUUUUCUGUUUCUGGAUGUCGGGCAUAGGGUGUAGCCGUUGAAGAAGCCGGAAAAUCUGACUUAUACUUGAUCAUUGAUUUAUAAAUAAUGGGUGUUUUGAUGCAUUGACAGUUAAUCAUGUUAUAUUUUUUUUAUACAUAGUGUUGAUACAAAAUGUCACAAACAAAGUGAGGCAUGCUGGCACACUCCACCUGUUUUAAUUUUAGUCCUUAUAAUGUGUAUAUUUCAAUGAAAGAGACAUUUUUGCAUCUGUGUUUGUGUGCCUUGCUGUAUGUUCAUAUUUGAUUGACAAAAUCAGCUUUUAAUUUUCAGUGUGUCUUUGAACGAGCUGAUGCGUUGAAACAGGAAGAACAAAUGCAGAUAAGUCACUUUAGAACAUCCCGGUAGAAGCGACAUCUAUUUUUAUUUUUUUGAAAAUAUCAAGGAAUUUUUACUUUUAUUUUCUCUUUCUGUAAAUAUUAUUCAAAGCAUCGAAAGUCUUUUUGAGAAUGAGAAAAUCAAGUUGCACCACACGCUUAUAGGUUUGUGUUGCCUUAGAUUUAGAAUAUUUUUAUUACAGGUGAAUGACUCGUGAAUGAUCUACGAGUAGACUUAAUAAAACAUCUGUUCAAUCAUA